UGCGGAGGAUCAUUAUCGCACAAGAAAGGCUCUUGGCUGUCGCUGGCUAGGUGAUUCUAGCAUCGUGCACGUCUAUUCCUUUCUAUCUUCAUAACACACCUGUGCACCUAUUGUAGAUCUUUACUGGUCUAUGUCUUAACCUCACACUACAAUGUAUGUCCUUUGAAUGUAUUUAAAUAUUACAACUUUCAGCAAUGGAUCUCUUGGCUCUUGCAUCGAUGAAGAACGCAGCGAAUUGCGAUAAGUAAUGUGAAUUGCAGAUUUUCAGUGAAUCAUCGAAUCUUUGAACGCACCUUGCGCUCCUUGGUAUUCCGAGGAGCAUGCCUGUUUGAGUGUCAUUUGAUUAUCAACCUAGUCAACUUGAAGUUUACUAGGCUUGGACUUGGGAUUUGCUGGCUUUCAGUAGUCAGCUAUCCUUAAAUGUAUUAGCGAGUGAAAUCUUGACGUGCACGGCCUCUGACGUGAUAAUGAUCGUUGGUGGGCUGGAGCGUCAUUAGGAAGCUUGCUUUGAAGUCUUGACAUGCGAGUGUCAUUUAAUUAUAUCUUGACCUCAAAUCAGGUAGGACUACCCGCUGAACUUAAGCAUAUCAAUA
rnacentral:rRNA from 1 species